UUAAACCCAGGACAAGUCAUAUAAGGAGGACAGAUUAUCAAAGAUCACUACCAUGGAAAGCUCUAACCAAGCAAAGGAUAAUUUAGAAACAGACAAUUCUGAUAUAAAAAUACAAAAGGUACGUCGCAUUUCUGUUUUUAUAUCCGCUGGUAUUAAACAAUGAACAUUCUAUUUCGUUCGUUGUUUAUUUUUUUUCCUUUUGCAGCUUAUUGACAAAGACUGGCAACAUAUUCUUGAGGUUGGUCUAGUUUUUUAUUUUACCAUCUAUACUUUGUUGCUUAAUCAGCCAUCUGAAUUUUAGGGUUGGGGCUGUGUAUGAAUCUGUUUCAACAUGAGAUGAAUCAUUUUUCUUUGGAAUGAUAGAGUAGUGGGAUUUCAACACAGAAGCACAUUAUUUUGAUAAUUUCAGACGAUUGUGUGAUGAUGAAUAUUUCUCAUGAGAUAAUUAUUUUGAUAAUUUUGUAAACGGUGAAUAUAGCACCAUAACUUGCUUCUGCUGGCAGUUUUUCAUUUUCUUUUGUUUAAUGAAGAAAUUUUUUUGUUUCUA